UGUGUACCUGAGGUCUUCCAAAGGGAAUCCGUCUCAGCUGCCCGCUGCUUCUUCUGCCAGACUUUCCGUGGGGACCCUGUGAUGUCCUCCAGUGGUGUGUCCUUCCCUAGUCAACAAGGGUGUCAUUGCUCAGGCAUGGGGUGCACCUCGUGCCCCCAGGGAUGGAGAGCAGGAGAGCUACUAGAUGUGCCCAGCACUCCAGGGUUACAUGAGGGACCACGCCACCUCACCUGCACUGACCACAGGUGUUUGGGCACCAGGGCCAGGCCAACUCACCGAACACCUGCAGGCUGGACAGCGCAGCAUGGACUCGCAGCACCUCCCUCAGGGUGGCCCUGCGUGUGCUGAGGGGGAUGUGGCAGACACGGGGGUCUCCCCGACUGAUGUGGGGGUUCCUGCUAUCAAAAAGCAGUGCCCGGUUGUGACGAGGGGCUCGGAGAAAGAUGCGCUGAGCUUCCUUCAGGUGCUCUGCCCAAGCUGCCAACAGGUCCUGAAUAUCCUGGGGAAGAAAGGAAGGCUCCAUGGAGUCCUGAGCACACAGUGUGGGCAGCAGCAGGCAGAUUCAAGACACGGCAGCCUCAUUUGGGUUCUGACCCUGCUCUGGAGCUCACAGCCCACAUCUGAACUCCAACGGCGGCAUGGCACCCUCACACAGAGCUGCCUGUGACCACAUUUUCCUGCUGAAAGCCCAAGCCUGUGGUCCAUUCUCACCUUGAGCAGUGCAGCUUCGUUGUAACGCCGCAGGGAGGCUCCUGCUGAUCUGGGUGCUGACCCUGGGGUCUGGGCAUCCCGUAGGCUCUGGGCUGUGCCCCGCCG
rnacentral:lncRNA from 1 species